ensembl:lncRNA
UGAUUAAACAUAAAAGUUUAAAUUAGCUGUAGAUCUAUAGGUCAAUGUAGCAGUAGAUCUAUAGGUCAAUGUAGCUGUAGAUCUAUAGGUCAAUGUAGCUGUAGAUCUAUAGGUCAAUGUAGCAGUAGAUCUAUAACUCAGAGAUAACCUAUAGGUCAAUGUAGCAGUAGGUCUAUAACUUCCAUCGUCUACUAAGUAAAGUACCUAAAUAAAAACAGAAAAUAUCCUGAUGAAAAUGUGGGUUGGUUCUCUCUUUGUUCCACCUGUCCGCCUCCCUUUCCAUUGGUCGAGCUAAUCGCUAAUGAAGAGCAACAAGCAGGCGACAAGCAUAGGGCUGCAUAGCAUACCCAGAGAAACACAUUGGCCUUAAUCUGGACCCAUAGGGCUGCAUAGCAUACCCAGAGAAACACAUUGGCCUUAAUCUGGACCCAUUUCAAUGAGAUUGAGCCCUCUCCCGUCACCUCUAGUAUGACACACCAUACUCUUUUGGUGCAGACAGCAUCAGAUACAUGGUCUACACACACUGAGACAGAGAGGUGCUGUUUCACUGUCCAGACAGCAUCAGAUACAUGGUAUACACACACUGAGACAGCAUCAGAUACAUUGUCUACACACACUGAGACAGAGAGGUGCUGUUUCACUCUUAUCAGAGAUUGAUGUGUUUUCUGUCGGGGCACGUCUCAGUCUAAUAAAUGAUCAAUAUUUUAUUUGGGCGGGCGUGCCAGGCCCCCUAAGGCCCGCCGAUAAUGUUGGCCCUGUUGACUCCAUACAGAGGCUGGCCACUGACAACAAUAUUACAGUCAGAUUCAAUGAUUUAUACACAAUAGAUGACUGACAGGGAGUGCUGUUUUGAAGCCACCGCGCCACCAUCUUGGUUCUCCUCCUCCAUUGUAAAGAUAUUGAGGAAGUUAUAGAAAUGCAGUUAUUAAUGUCUACAUUUGUUUAUUCUAUUAUAGACACCUUAAUGUGUACUUUAAAACAUUAUAUUAUGAGGUGAGUAAAACAUUUAUAAUAAACUUUACAACAUUUCCUUAUUAAAGUAUAAUUUGUUUGGAAGUUCUAAUGUUACUAUCCCCACAACAACAACAACAACAAAAUACUUAAAUACAUUUAGUUUCGUCCUUGAAGCAUUUAAAUUAAAUACUGUAGAAUCCCAUUCAUUCCUAUUCCUCCGACUGGAUGGCCGCGUGCUGGCUUCAAAGCCUCUCAUUGGCUAAAACAUAGCAUCAGCAAUACAGGGUUUAUAUACUUCAUUGGUCAGAUCACGAGAAGGGUGUAAUUGCAGACCGCAAUUAGGGAUGUUUUCUGAUAUCGCUGUUUAUUGAUGGGAAGUUACACCCAUUGACGCUCGCCAUUGGUCUGUGGGCGUUUCUUUCGUGUACGGUUGUAGGUAAGCCUAACCCUUUUUCCUAACCUUAACCUCAUUGUCCUGACCUGCCAUGCUAAAUCACCUAACCUGCUAUGUAAACAAAUAAUCUGUGUCGAGAAACAAUCAAUCUCAUAACACCGGAACUGACCGAUGGUAGGUAUCAAUGGUUGUUCCCUGAUAUCAAGAAACGCCCCGAAUUGCGGUCUGCAAUUACACCAUAUUGAGACCUGCGGUGACAAUUAUUUUACAAGAAAAAUAUAAUUUAAAAAUGAAGCUAAUUAAGCAAACGCAGAUCACCGCAACUAGAGCUGGAGGAUAGAAAUCCGGCUGCACAUGGUCACUAUUAUUGAACCAAACUAACGCCAAAAAAGGACAGCUGAGGAUGACAGUUUGAUUACUCACACUAGGUAUACACUACAAUCCCCUGAAGUGUCAUUGUUUUAUGACACGGUAGGCACCGCUAACCACAUGACCGAGUGUGAGAUGAGUAUAGUUCCAAUUCCAAACCCGUUGGCGACAACAAAAAAAUAAUGCAAAUACCGUUUAUUGUCCCUAAAAACUUACCGUUAAAAAACGGAGCAUGCACACGCAGAUAUAUUCCUAGUCAAACCGAGGAGAAUGGAGUUCGGUAUAGCAGGAGAAGAAACGGAUCCUUUGCCAGUGUACACAGAACGGACCUACCCGUAGAACGGGCACGAGCUUCUCCCGACACCGGUUGAGCGCGAGUGCGUAGGGAGAGUGGUGCGCAUGCGUGGACACCCCCAACGCUGCUCGCUCAGGUGUGAUGAGAGAGAGAGAGAGAGUGGAAUAGAUUAUUGUUGAUAGCCCUAUAUUGACUGUAGAAUACAGUACAGAGGAAAAGCAAUAUCAGAUGAAUGAAAAGGGUUGCCUACAAUAUGAUGCAGCCUCUGUGUGCCAUGUCGUCAUGCUGUGGGCAGGCUGUGUGUGAAGGGAGUGUGUUAAGGGUAGAUAACAGCUCAGCCUGUCCCUCCCUUGGCACUUGGUCUUUGAAUUCUCUCCCAGUAAUUAGCUGCAGUGUGUGCCACUGUAUCAGUCACAAGUAAAGGGGCAAUCUGCAAUUGGUACAAGCAUUUGAAUCAAAUAGCCAUUGAUUGUUUUAAAAUAAUAACUUAUGAAUGCCUCAUGAACUUAGUUCAACCACAGAUCACCCUUUAAGUAAUCUUGAAAACACUUAGCCGGGUAAAGUCAGUGUAGAGAAUAGAGCUGUCAGUAUCCUAGAUUAGUCCGACAGUGAGUCAGUCCUCGCUGCCCAGUGGACAGAGCUCCUCCUGCUCUCCGGAGAGAUUGUCAAAAUGACCCUAGAUACGGACACACACCGACGCGGCCACACAGCAGAUCGUCAACACAGGUUUAGCAGUGAAGACAUUUUGUUCUCAAUUGGCUAAUCAACUCUCCAAUUACUAUAUCUCCCAGCAGUUUUUAAUGAAUGGGAAAUAGCUGGACAGUCCGAGACUGUGCCUGAAACCAGACCUUACCCACUGGGCAGACAUCAAUUCAACGUCUAUUCCACGUUUCAUUGAAAUGACAUAGAAACAACAUUCUCCACCUUUCACCUAAAGUGUGCACUUACAC